AUUGAACGCUGGCGGCAGGCCUAACACACGCAAGUCGAGCGGAUGACGGGAGCUUGCUCCUUGAUUCAGCGGCGGACGGGUGAGUAAUGCCUAGGAAUCUGCCUGGUAGUGGGGGACAACGUUUCGAAAGGAACGCUAAUACCGCAUACGUCCUACGGGAGAAAGCAGGGGACCUUCGGGCCUUGCGCUAUCAGAUGAGCCUAGGGCGGAUUAGCUAGUUGGUGGGGUAAUGGCUCACCAAGGCGACGAUCCGUAACUGGUCUGAGAGGAUGAUCAGUCACACUGGAACUGAGACACGGUCCAGACUCCUACGGGAGGCAGCAGUGGGGAAUAUUGGACAAUGGGCGAAAGCCUGAUCCAGCCAUGCCGCGUGUGUGAAGAAGGUCUUCGGAUUGUAAAGCACUUUAAGUUGGGAGGAAGGGCAGUAAGCUAAUACCUUGCUGUUUUGACGUUACCGACAGAAUAAGCACCGGCUAACUCUGUGCCAGCCGCCGCCGUAA
rnacentral:rRNA from 1 species